CAACGGCACAAAGUCCGGCAGUUCGUUGGCGGCAAUUGAGAAGCUGGCAUCCUCGUAGAGCUUCUUCAGAUCGACCAUCGCCUGGCCCCGGUCGCGGCUUUCACCGUNNNCAGAUGCAGGGCAAGCGUACGGCUCCGGUCGAACAACAGACCGUAAUCCUCCUGAAGGUCGUAAAGCUCACCAGUCGCGAUUUGCUCGAUAAGAAUAUCAAGCGCGCGCCGCUGGGCGGCAGGCACGAGAUUCUCCGAAUCCAGA
rnacentral:misc_RNA from 1 species